AUUUAUACAUAUACAUACAUAUAUAUAUAUAUGGGCUUUUCACAUCUUUUUGUGAAACUUGGCUUUGAUAGCAUGAACACAAGGAGAGUACUUAUAUGGCUUUCAUGCCUGUCCUGUUCUGAAAGAAAAACAAUACAGCUUUUCAUACUUGGCAGCACUGUAUCAGGUAUGACAGUGUAUAUUUCCACUUACAUUAUAAUUCAGAGGUCCUUCCUCUUCUUGGAAGUUCCUGGGAUGCUCAGGCUCUUAGAACUUGUUCCAGGAGUCUCCUUGAAUGGAUUUGAUUGCUUUUCAGAGCUGCUUUAGUUAGUCUUUUUCUCUUCUCCUUAAUUCAUAGUCCUUGGAAACCAAAAGAGCCACAAGCCUCUGAUGUUACCUGAUCUUCACACACAGUCCUAGUGAUGAACCGCAUCAACCAGUUCUUAAGUUCAGGUGUUCAGUACUUACAGUGAUUGCUUCAGACGCUUCACACUGCUCCCUCUGGAGCAUGACUAGUUCCUUUUUUCUUCCUUGCUACUCGCAUAGGCAAUUAAAAUUCAGACCACUUUUUCUGUCUCGGCUGCAUCCACCUCCUUUACCUCUGUAUGACGUACCCAUUGUGGUGUUCACCAAGCCUUCCUAAACUUUCAUAGUGGCCUACAUCCUAAACCAGCACCUGACAGUCGACACCUUCACCACACCAAAGCAUUAGCAGCCACUUUUGUAAUCCCUUUGGAAUGCAGCGGUCAUGGUUCCUAUGUGACUAAUGACUUAAUAGUGUCACAGGUGUUUUUCCUAGCUCAGUUCCACCCACCUAUCAUCCAAAAUGGUCAAAAUAUUUUAUUCCUUCUUUUCCUUAUUUUCGUGGCCUUGGAAUUGCUGUCGGUUUUCCAGCUUUCCAGUGUAAACCUAAACUUACAUUUUUCUUGCCUUCUCAAUAAUUUGUUGUUUGAGUAUUUUGUUAUCCUGACCUCAGAUUAGCCUUACUGCACCUUAAACUCAUAUUGUUGCUAGUCUUUUCUAGAAAGUGUAAGUUCCACAAAAACAUUGCAGAAUCCUAUCUAUGAGUCUGUAUCCCAGUAGGCAUGCAUGUAAUUAGAUGUGUUUACUUUAUGCACAUUUGAAAUCUUGCAAAGGAAGGGUGUUGCCUUUCUAUGAUUCCCCUAGAGGUCCAGUUGACCAGAUUCUGCCAUUUCUGCUAGUGCUUUCACUCAUUUAAUAAGAAGUUGAAAUUCUAAGUUAAAGUCUGUCCAUGUGCUUGAACUUCCCUCAUUUAGUCUAUGUGGUGAGAGCUCUUAGUUCUCACAGGUUUUAAGGAACAUCAAGAGAAAAUCUGUGGGCUGCUUUUACAACUUCUCUGUAGCCAUGUAAUUAGAUAGCCAGUAUGAUGUACUGAUGUCAUGUGUCUGGUAUGGAAAACUAGAAGGCUGCUGCUGUGUGCCCCUCAAGUACUUUUUCAGUGUAUAGGGGCAAGGUGGGUUCUGCAGUCCAAAGUACAAUAGAGCAGUAGUGCGACUUCUCAUUCACUUCAUCUACACAGAUCAUUUUUCAGUCAGAGAUUGACUUACUGUUGCAUAAUUAUCACCCAUAAAGCAAAUCACUCAAUGGGCUACACCUAGCUCUCUUGUUCCUGGAAUCUUGCUUUUAGCUUCUGCUUCCCCACAAACUACUUAAUCACCUGCCAGUUAGAGUUGCAUUGAAGGAACAUCUAUUCUUACGCAUACUGUUUAGCAACAGGAAUUCAAGAUGUGGAAUUCAUAAGCUAGGUUAAUUAUACAAUUUUUAAAUGAAGGCUAAGUCUAUUAAGACACGCCUUUUUACUACCAUUUUUGGCCCUCACAACACCCAAACAAAUUUGGAUGCAUUCUUCGUUUACACCAGUUUUUUCCUGCUUGUGAUCUGCACCUAUCUACCAUUAAAAGUUUAACUAAGAUAUACUGAGCUUGAUCUCAAUAUUAACUGGAUUCUGUAUUUAAUAUAUUAUUUGCUAGUGGAGAUGGCUUCCUAACAUGCAAACUAUCAUGAAAAAUUCUAAUUUUUCCAGAGUUAAAAUACCUCCUGACCUAAGAUUACUCUCCCUCUGAUUUCCAGAGAGUAUCAGUGAGAACAAAUAGCAGCAUGUAAAAAGAACCUCAUAUGCUGUGAGCUGGGUGAUUAUCCUAACACGUUUGCCAAGUUGCUCUCAUGUUGGACAGCAUCCAAAUUGCUUCAGAACAUUUUCUGUGCCACACUUGGCCACUGUGAUUUGGCAGAAAAGACAAAUGUCAUGAUGCUUACUCAUUAUUGCCAAAAAGACUGGGCAAAAUCAUGUAAAACAUGCACUUAAUCCUGGUUACUUUCUAGUGUCGUGAUGGCAAUGAAGGGAAACACCACUAUGCAAUUGCACUGUAUAAAGCCUUUAAUGUGUAAAAAUGUGUUUAUGUUUCUGUAGAAACAGCCAAAGACAGAAGUAAUGAUUUCCAAAGAAAAGCAGACUAAAGUCAAACAAGUCAUGGAAGUUGCAGGAUCAUAAUUCCAGUACAUACAGUCUGCAUUCACUUCUGCAAAUACAAACGGACAGUCGUAGUCCAGAUCUACAUCUCCUUCUUUGACGGCAUUCCUUGAGGCAGGACCACACUGAUAAAUUCCUAUGGCAUCAAGAAAAUAUACCUUAGAACUAAUCAAUGGUUUUACACACUACUCCUGGAAUGAAAUCUGUGUACCUCCACUCUCUUCUUGGGGAGUUGCAUCCAGAAUUUGCCAUCCACUGUAUGAAGGGCCCAAGUCACUGCGGGAAAACCAGCUUUCAUUCCAGACGUGGAAAUUCCUACAUUCAAGAAUGAAUAAAGUAAACCAGUGAUUUGCUACCUCUGAAUAAGAAAUGAAGAAUGAUCCAAAGAAUGUUUCUGCAUUUUCAAUUGUGAUGAGUUCCCUAGCCCUGCUGAUGUUACAUGUACCUCUGAUGUGGGAUGGGAAAUCUCAGUGUUGCAGAAAGACUGAAAAAAUGCAGAGUGAAACCAAGUGCACAUCACAAAGAGCCUGGAGAUGCUGAGCAACUGAAGCUCUUUUCUACACCUGCGGUCGCUCCUGUUACUGCCCUUUGGGUUCUCACCAGCUGGAUCCCAUCUCUCUUGAUGAACCCAAAACUGAAUGCAGGACUUCAGCUGAAGCUUUACCAGCGGGGAAGGUGAGGUUUAUUUUGUGUGUCUGACACACAACUUUUCUAUUAAUGAAUUCCAGCAGACACAAUGUCCUUUUGGCCAUCAGGACAUUGAGGAGAUGAAGGCUUUAUAAGUGCACAGGUGAACACAUGACUGAAAUGGCAACGAAUGGAGUGUGCAGCCCUUUGUGUGUGACCUGUUGGAGUCCCAAAAGGCAGGAAUGGUGCCAGCUUUGCUGCAGCAUAAACCCCCAGCAAGUGCAGCGUGAGAGGGGCCAACAACCACCUGGAAAAUUCCAAUCUGAGCAGUUUUAAUGAUGGCAAAAGCUGACUACAAAAGACGUCUGUUGCAAAAACAGGAGCCAACAGUUCUGAACCAACAGUUUGCUGGCUGUGGAUUUAUUUUUCUCCUAUAAAUGCCUUCAGAUUUGGAGCUGAAAGACUUUAAGGGACCAACACUGACAGCAGGGCUGUCUGCUAAGUGACCUCAGGGCAGUGACCCUAACGUUGUGCUCAGUGUCUCACUCUGCUCCCAUUGUGGCUGCAGUGGGAUGUGUGCCAUCCCAUGGCUCCCUGGGGGUCUCUUGGUGGCAGCAGAAGAGCUGAACCAUCCACAAGCCAUUGUUAUGGAAGUUUAAAGCCAAUUCAGCUUUUGUUACAGGGUACCAGCUUGUUUUUAUUACUCAGAAAAGCAAUGUAUUUGUUUGAAAACUGUGCUUUGAAUAGCCCAUCUCUAUUUGAAUCACCUGUCUGCAGUGUUCCUCAGCUGCUGGCAGUGCCAGCAUCUCCCCCCAGAGGUGGCACAGCCACAGGAGGAGGCACAUCUCCACAUUCCUUGUUCCAUGGCAUGAAGCGUGGUACUGAAAAUGUGCAAGAGGUGAAGAAGCUUCCAGCAAAUGAACAAGGACAACAGCUGCUUGUUCUUUGCAUCUGACAGCAGAGAAGUUUGGGAGUGUACCGGGAAUUCCUGAUGUGCUGGGGUUUAAUGGCUGAAGUGAAGCCCUUUUAAACUUUGCAUUACAAGGGCUGGGGUUUUAAUGUUUAAUGUGCUAAGAAAGACAAAGGCAGGUAGCUGACACCUCCCUUGAAAUAAGAAUCUCUAUAAUGGUAAUCCUGAAGAAUCCCUGUUACUGUUAUUGCUUUGGUUGGUGGGAUGGCAUAGCACAAAUGCUGAGAAUGGGGAGUGCAGCCUCAUUUGUCAGGUACUGUAUGAAUCUGAGGGUUGGAAGAUUGCAGUUGGAGAGAUGAGAGCAUCAGGAGCAUCAGUGCUGAAGUGCCUCUGAACACAGCAACCAUCCCCAGCUGGUGGCAGGUACGACCUGUGUCAAAUAAGGCAUUUUGUAGCUGAAACAGAUGAUUUCUGGCUGCCACAGGUGCAGCUGGGUCCAGCUGAGUGUCCCUCCAGGCCUGGUGGGGGUGCAGGUGGUGACUCCCAGACAGAUCUGCCCUUCUCACAGAGGAGGGCCAAUGGGUUUUAUGGGAAAGCUGCGUUGUGGUUGCUUGUCACAGAUGAAGCAAUUACCAAAACUCUUAAUUCUGUGUCAUGGUGAGGAGUUUAGAUAGCAAAAAGCUUUUUAGAGCACUCUAUUGCUAGGAGUUCAGAAAUGGGAGUAAACCUCCUUUUCUAAGUAGUUGCACUGCUUGGAUAUUUAACCACAACAGAAGAUGGCAGUCUCAAGAGAGCAAGGGUGGUUGGGGCAGGUGUUGCAUUAAGGGUUUUGCUGUAAGUCUUUUGGGAACCUGGGUGCCCAAAUCUGAAGCAAUUUGUGGUAGGGAAUGGAUUCAGCCAUACCAAUGAGGGACUUCAGUCAGGGUCCUUAUAUAGCCCUGCUCUGUUCUCCCUGUGGGUACUGCUCUGCUCUCAGCAUCUUCCUCCUCUCCCACAGAGCUCAUUUGGGGUGGGUUUCUGCUGUGUUGUUGUGUUGUAGGAUUACAUCCAGGUUGCUCGUUUUGGUUAGUGAGUGCUGGGAGUUAACAGGGAAAGGGCAGGCUGAGGAGAGUCUUUCAAUGAGGAGAGCUCAUUGAAAUGCAUGGGGAGUGGUUCUGUCCCAUGUGAAGUUUAAUCCGAGAAAGCCUUCAAGAAUGGCUUAAUGCAGCCUUCUGCAUCGCCCACAAACACUUCGGGGAAAAACAGGGAAGGAGAAGAGUGUUAGAUAAGCUGCUUUAAAGUGAUCUUCAUAAUCCUGAGAAUUAAAGUGUAUUCUAUUAGAUACAUGUUACAGAUGCAAAAUAACCCAGUAAGGCUGGAAGUGACCCUUCCCAUGGGCGAUUCAUGGGAUUUCUGCAGCUGUACCCAAGCAUCACCAAAAUCAGAGCUCCCCCUGCUCCCAGGGGAGGUCAGCCCCCAGUCCUGGCCAUGGCAUUAAAUAUCUGCUUGGAAGUAGAUCUGAGGGCUGUCCUUGUGUUACUCUGCAGCCAUAGGCACAAUGCUUUCUGACCCCUAUCCAUCUCCAGCAUUAAUUACUGUUGAACGGCCAAAAACAAAGGAAGAAGAAGGGUGUUUCCUCAAAGCUGAAGGCAAAUGCGAGCAGGGAGUGGCCAAGUCAGGCUGGCUUCAUUCAGGGUUUUCAGCUCUUACUGCAAGAUCUUCGAAAAAGGGGAAAAAAAAGAAGAGAAACAAGAAGUUCAGUGUGUUGGUGGCACCACCAGCAUUGCCCUACCUGGGGUGUUUGAGCCUAGUUACAGUUGUUGCUGGGGGAGCCCCUGAGCAGACCGUUCCACUGCACACAAUGGUGAUGAGGCAGAGUCCUGGCAGGAAUCACCGAGGGAUAUUUCUUAAGAUUUAGAAUGCAUUUUGCUGCUCAUUCAUCCUCCAUCCCACACAGCUUUUGGCAGGUUGCAUUAAUCCUUCUGUCUCAGUUUCCUUCAGUGUGAGAGGGGAUGUUGUGGUGUUGCCUCCCAGGAUCCAUCUGAAAUUGCUCUCAGGCUGCAGCAUCCUUUCAGACUCUGUGUAUGUGGGAACAGAGCAGUUCUCACUCGUAGGAGCCCUGUGUGAAUGGCACAGAUGGGUGCUUGGUCACCCCUGUGAGAGGUCACUGUACCACCUCACAGCUGACUGAUGUGGUUCUGACCUGGUGGAUGCUGGGUGAUGAAUAGGAGCCACCAGCCCUUGGGGGCCUAAUAAAUCCCCGGCUGCUGAAUAAUACAGCAAGGCAAAUUGCUUUACAGAAUCCAGUGCUUAAAGCUAAAUGUUAGAUAACAUAUUACAGGAAGCUACUUGUGCCUCUGUGCCAGCUCUGCCCAAACAGCACAACAGGGGAAGUUAAAGAAUUCCUACAGCCCCUACGUAGAAUCAUAGAAUCACGGGAGUCAGAAGGGAGCUUUAAAGUUCUUCUGGUCCAACCUCCCUGCAAUGAACAGGGACAUGUGCAUGGGGUUUGGGGAAAGCAGUAUCCUCAGGGGAGCAAGCGCUGCUUUGAGAUAGGAUCCCAGAGAUUUGAUCUAUGGUAUUGAUAGGUAGGAAAAAAAGUUCAUUUCUCAAAUCAUUUUACAAAUUCCCUAGAAGAGGGGUGAUGGGGCAAAUCACUCUUUUGGGAGCAUUUGUUCAUCAGCCAGUAGAAAAGUCUAUGUGUUUUUCCUUUAUGAAAUAACUACCUUUGGCUUUAGACCUGAUGUGAAUGAGGCAGGUGUGGAUGGUGGUGGUGUUUUGCACACCCACUCACCUUAGGGAAUGGGUUGGCCCCCAGGCUCAUCUCCUACAGAAAGGGAGACCAGAGUGGGUCUGGCAGAGCCAUCCCCAGGAAGAGGAGCAGUGAUGUGUGUGCUUGCGGUCAGUGAGCACAGAGAGGCUACUUAAUGGAUGCAGGGGUGGAAAUGCAUAUCCUGGGAAGGGCAGAAUACUGGAGCCAGAGGGAUAGCUCUGAGUGUUCUUUGUGGGAAUCUGAACCACACAGUUCCCUGGUAACCCAUUUGUAUUGGCGUGUUUCCUAUCCAAAUUUGGGUGAGCUGAAAGCUUCAGGUCCUCUUAGGAUCUGGUGCCCAUGUGGCUACUCUGCCCCUAGAUACAAGAGGGUUGCCCUCACCUGUUCUUUUUUCAUCCAAAUUUGAGCCUGCAGAGACUCUUCCCUUUGCCAAAGAUUGUUUGCUCUCUAUUCCUGGUCCCCGCUGAGACCUCUCUGCCCUUCUCCCCUUCACCUCUUGCAACCAGCCCAGCAGUUCAGCCCUCCCACAUCCUUCAGUGCCUCUCUGAGGACCUCAGAAUUCUGGCAGAGGCUCUGUUAUUUGCACCAACUGCUACGGACUUUAAAAUGUAAAUGAACAACUUGGGAAUGGCUUUCUUAUCCCAUAGUGUGAGAAAGAGCUGGAGUAGUAGAGGGUAUGCUGGGGAACAAGCCUAGGGCCAGGAGAACAGCAACCAAACCUGCCCAAUGCAGCAGAGCCUGCACCCCCUCAGCACCGUGAGCUGCAGCUUCAGCUGAAACCCUCCCAGGGCAGAUUUCACAACAGAGAAUGUAACAAUGAUGGAGCCCAGCUGUUGCUGACAUUGAGAUCCAGGCUCUGCUUGGCUUUUCUAAGGAGGGCAUGACACUUAAGUUUCAUUUUUGGACUGUGUUUUGCUAGUUGCUUCCAGCAUUUUUCCCUGGUAUUCCACUCUUUUCAUGCUCUUGGGCUCUCAGUAGUUCAACCACUCUGCACCAUUCGUCUCGGUUCCUUCUGCACUUUUCAACGCUUGUUACAGGCCUCUGCCAAGAAACCUGAUAAUUUUCUUUCCCAUUUAAGGAAAAGGAUUUUGGACUAUAAAAGAAAUCUCCAUUAUAUCUUAAAGUGUUUCUACACCGGAAAGAAAAUCCCUGGAAACUAGGGGAAUCCUUAAAGGGACAUAAUAGGAAGCACUGGAACUGAGACAGCUCGUUGCAUGACAGUCUUUCCCACUCACAAGAACAAGCACAGGGCCCCGGGGCUGUGAGAACAAUAUGGGUUAUUGUUACAACUUCUAACUCAAUUUAGGAUAUGAAAACCAGCAUCCCUCAGCAUCAGGAACCAGCCAAAACUCAUGAGCCACCAAAGCUGCUGUGCCGCUCUCUGCUGGAAGCCCAUUGUUCCAAAUGCCAUUACUGUGACAGCUGCAGGCUUGUUUAUGUGCAAGGAGCCUUUCUUUCUCACAGCCAUUAGUUCACUGUGACCAGUCCAGUGAUGUGAAUCAGACUCGUCUCCUGCUUCAAAGGAUGGACAGGAGAUGCCUUACUGCUGUGCAGUGUGGGUGUUUGUGAAGAUGUGAUGCUUUUCUUUAUGCAGGCAGAGGAGGCACUGCAGAGGGAUACUGUCACAUCUAGGCUCAGCCUGCUUUGCUGUCAUAAAAUCACAGAAUUGUCGUGGUUGGAAAAGGCCACUAAGAUCAUCUAGUCCAGCCAUCAACCCAUCACCACCACCAUUUGUUGUAUGGCCGUGUUGUGGUCAUGCUGUGGUCUGCGAAACAGUGCCUUCCGCACUCUUCUGCAUGACAAGUUAAAUUCAAGCCUGUAUAUAGCACUGCUUAUGAGCCCAGGGGAGCAUAUUUGUGUCAUACUCUGUGCAUUUCCCCUUAAGUACUUGAGGUUUAAAGUAUUUCCUUGUCAAUAACAGCUAUAAUACGCAGAGAGGAAGAGGGUUUGCCAUGGGCUACAUUCAGGCAUUUGGCUGGCUCCAUUGGCCGUGGAAAUAACAAACCAUAAAUAAAGUUUGGAGAAGCUCGUGGUACAAAAAUAUCAAUCAAAAGGAAUAUCUAAAGCAUAAGCGGGUUAGAUAACCUUGGAGAAGAGAAAGCAGACAGCACAUUUCUGCAUCCUCAGGCCUGCGCCGCCCCUUGCUGACAAGCUCGCCAGCCGUGGAACAAGAAGUGCUGCAGAGAAUGGACAUCCUGGGGCUGGGAAUGUUCUCUCCUCUCAUCCAGUCCCUUGGAUCACCCCAGGCACAGCCAUCUGCAGGGCACCCUCCUGCAGUUCUACCUGAGGCUCGAGCAUAAUCCUUCAUACUGGCAAGGAGGAUAUGGAAGGGUGAACAAUGUGGGAGCAGUGCCUUCAUGCUGCCCUUUUGUGUCCCCUCUCCAUGGCUGGUUCCCCGGCCUCUUGCCAGACCAUGUGAGUGACAUGGGCAGUGUAGCAAGAGUGAUGUGGAAAGAUACAAAUGCCUUGCAAAUAAAAAUGAAUUGCUUCUCU